rnacentral:misc_RNA from 1 species
UUGUGUUCUUGUUCUACAUCACUUGGUUUAUUUUUUAAGCUGAACAUAACUAUAUUUUGACUUCAAGAGUCUGUAUUUAUUGGAUUUGAGGUGUUUAUUUGAAAAUUUUCACCUUAUUUUAGUUGUUUUGGUAUAUUUGGUUUAAACUGCUAUACAUUGUUAUAUCUAUAGCAUUGUGAUUUUAUUUGCACAAUUUGGUUGGAUAUAUUCAAAAUAA